CAGAACUCUUAAACCCUGCUCUGUUUCUGCAAUGAUGAGGACAGGCUGAAUGUCUACUAGCCAAGACCACAGGCGUGCCCACGCCAAGUUCUUUCCCCAGGUCUGGGUUUCAAAUGCUGGUGACAAAA